GCUGCCUCCCAAGGAGCUGCUCCAACACCCCAAAAACCACAGUGACCCCAGGACAGCAGAGACACAGACAUCCCCCGGGGAGCCUGGAGCACAGCACCAGGAGGGUGUUUGCUGGGAUCAAGCACCCAGACUCCAGACUGCUCAGAAAAGGGUAGCCUGAGAAAGGCCUCACCCUCCCCAGGUGAUCCCAUAAAACAGAGGUGUGGCACACCCAGGACAGAGCAGUUCUGGGGAAAGCACAGCCCCGGCCUCGCGGAGCGUCUCCAGCUCGGCUCUCGCAGCCAGAUGAGUAAACCCUGGCAGCAACCAUCACCCUUCACUGCCUGGGCUGGAAAUACCUCAGGCUUCACCAUAAAUAUUUGAGGACAUGACAAGCAGCAUUUUUCACACUCCAGAGGCGCAGACUCCCAGGAUCCCAAUGCAUCACUCUGGGAGCAUGGCCUCUCUGGCCAGAAUUCCGGAUGUCUCGCCACCCUCAGCGUUCCCCCCGCCUGAAUCUGUGCCAAAAAGCACUUAGCCUUGAAAUAAGUUCAAUCAUCUUCCUCCCAGCAUCCCAGGAUAACGUUUAUCCUCUUUGCAUUGUGUAAUCCUAAGCAUCAAAACAGUUCACCAAUGUAUUGUGUGGCAUCAUGCAGCUCAUUAGCAGGCAAAAUUAAUACCCGAGCUGUAGGAAGCCCCAUAAUCCCAGCAGGCUGUGGGAAAUGCUGGGAGCUGGGAGGUGGGGACAGAAAUUCAUGAGUGCCUUACCCUGAUAAGACGCCCAGCACCAAGUUGAGCAUGAAGAAAGAGCCAAUGAUGAUGAGAGGGAUGAAGUAAAGCCAAUUCCA